rnacentral:rRNA from 1 species
UACGGAGGGUGCAAGCGUUAUCCGGAUUCACUGGGUUUAAAGCGUGCGUAGGCGGUUCGUUAAGUUCGUUGUGAAAGCCCCGGGCUCAACCUGGGAAUGGCAAUGGAAACUGGCGGGCUUGAGUAUGGCAGAGGGGGGUGGAAUUCCGCGUGUAGCAGUGAAAUGCGUAGAGAUGCGGAGGAACACCGAUGGCGAAGGCAGCCCCCUGGGCCAAUACUGACGCUCAGGCACGAAAGCGUGGGGAGCAAACAGG